rnacentral:rRNA from 1 species
AGAGUUUGAUCAUGGCUCAGAAUCAACGCUGGCGGCGUGCCUAACACAUGCAAGUCGAGCGAGAAAGGGUAGCAAUACCUGAGUAAAGCGGCGCACGGGUGAGUAACACGUGGGUAAUCUGCCCUGGAGUGGGGAAUAACACCGGGAAACCGGUGCUAAUACCGCAUACGAUCGUGAUGUUUUCGGAUGUUGCGAUGAAAGGAGCAAUUCGCUCCAGGAGGAGCCCGCGGCUGAUUAGCUAGUUGGUGAGGUAAUGGCUCACCAAGGCUACGAUCAGUAUCCGGUCUGAGAGGACGGUCGGACACACUGGAACUGAGACACGGUCCAGACUCCUACGGGAGGCAGCAGUGGGGAAUUUUUCGCAAUGGGGGCAACCCUGACGAAGCAACGCCGCGUGGGUGAUGAAGUCUCUUGGGACGUAAAACCCUUUCGACGGGGAAGAAACCGCAAGGUUGACGGUACCCGUAGAAGAAGCCCCGGCUAACUCCGUGCCAGCAGCCGCGGUAAUACGGGGGGGGCGAGCGUUGUUCGGAAUUACUGGGCGUAAAGGGCGCGUAGGCGGUCUAUUAAGUUGGAUGUGAAAACUCUGGGGCUUAACUCAGAGCCUGCAUUCAAAACUGAUAGGCUGGAGUUCUGGAGGGGAUAGCGGAAUUCCUGGUGUAGCGGUGAAAUGCGUAGAUAUCAGGAGGAACACCGGUGGCGAAGGCGGCUAUCUGGACAGAAACUGACGCUGAGGCGCGAAAGCUAGGGGAGCAAACAGGAUUAGAUACCCCGGUAGUCC